rnacentral:rRNA from 1 species
GACGAACGCUGGCGGCGUGCCUAACACAUGCAAGUUGAGCGACGAACCAGGGCUUGCCCUGGGGCAAAGCAGCGAACGGGUGAGUAACACGUGGGUAACCUACCCCGAUAACCGGGACAACCCGAGGAAACUCGGGCUAAUACCGGAUGUGCUCACUGGACUUCGGUUCAGUGCGUAAAGGAAGCUUCGGCCUCCGUAUCGGGAGGGGCCCGCGGCCCAUUAGUUUGUUGGUGAGGUAACGGCUCACCAAGACCGCGAUGGGUAGCUGGUCUGAGAGGACGAUCAGCCACACUGGGACUGAGAAACGGCCCAGACUCCUACGGGAGGCAGCAGUGGGGAAUCUUGCGCAAUGCGCGAAAGCGUGACGCAGCAACGCCGCGUGGGGGAAGAAGGCCUUCGGGUUGUAAACCCCUUUCAGGAGGGACGAAGGUUCGGCGGUGAAUAGCCGUCCGGACUGACGGUACCUCCACAAGAAGCCCCGGCUAACUACGUG